CACAUUGUGAUCUACACAACCAAACAAAAGCAAAAAAAAACAACAAACAAACGUCGAAUGUUAACAAAUCGAUAACAGCAAAGUUCGGCAGAACAGAGAGAGCUGCUGGGAAGAGCGGAGACGUCACACCGGUGAAAGUGCGCGAUUUCAGUCAGCUUCAGUGCGAGUAACUAAACUAACUAAUUACCGGCGCGCGCGCGGAUCAACUAAUGGCGCGUAUCAACUCGAACAACAGUUACACCGUGUAUUUUGUUUUGCCCCAAAAACAAUGACAAACAGACAGACAGACAAUGUUUACCCCAUUUCAUGUUUGAGCGAUGAGAAGCAGCAGCACUCGGCGUUGUGAUGAAUAAUUUUGAGUGGAGUAUUUAGCACAACGGACAGCAGAGGAGAUCGCUCCAAUUUGUGUGUACAAUUCAGUGAUUAGGAAUGUCUGUGUCUUUGCAAAUCGGCUGCAGAGGUUCCAGAGGUGGCUCUUUGUUCUAUCGCAGAAAGCAAUGAAGACCCAUAAGACACAAGCGAGUGUUGGCAACUGGUCGAAAUUUACUCUGCUGUCAUCAGGGAUGGAAAUCAAAAUGUGCUGAUUGUACCUAGCCAGUGAAAAACUUGUAUACUCAAAAACAAAUAAAUGUACCGCAAAAAGAUUG